UUUAUGGAGAGUUUGAUCCUGGCUCAGGAUGAACGCUGGCGGCGUGCCUAAUACAUGCAAGUCGAGCGAACGGACGAGAAGCUUGCUUCUCUGAUGUUAGCGGCGGACGGGUGAGUAACACGUGGAUAACCUACCUAUAAGACUGGGAUAACUUCGGGAAACCGGAGCUAAUACCGGAUAAUAUUUUAAACCGCAUGGUUCAAAAGUGAAAGACGGUCUUGCUGUCACUUAUAGAUGGAUCCGCGCUGCAUUAGCUAGUUGGUAAGGUAACGGCUUACCAAGGCAACGAUGCAUAGCCGACCUGAGAGGGUGAUCGGCCACACUGGAACUGAGACACGGUCCAGACUCCUACGGGAGGCAGCAGUAGGGAAUCUUCCGCAAUGGGCGAAAGCCUGACGGAGCAACGCCGCGUGAGUGAUGAAGGUCUUCGGAUCGUAAAACUCUGUUAUUAGGGAAGAACAUAUGUGUAAGUAACUGUGCACAUCUUGACGGUACCUAAUCAGAAAGCCACGGCUAACUACGUGCCAGCAGCCGCGGUAAUACGUAGGUGGCAAGCGUUAUCCGGAAUUAUUG
rnacentral:rRNA from 1 species